CUGGAGUAAGCAUCUUUCAACCAAGAGACAAGUAGUUGGAAGCGUCGCCAUAUGUGCAGCCGCGACAUUGCAACUGGUUGGCAACACCAUGUUAGCGGUGCAGUGAGUUGCGCUCAGUUGUGAUGCCAUACCAGGCGCUCUAUAGACCGACCAACUGACAUAAAAUAAUCAUCAAUAUAAAUUAACUGCUGUGGCAAGUAACAAAAAAAAGAAGAACAAGUACUACUUGCAGAAGCUAACACUAAAAGUAGAACAAAACCGAGUACUUCACUAUAUAAAAGACAGCAAAGGUUGAUGAGUGGAAUGAGGCGUUGGAGUUGGGGAAGUAGCAACAGCUGUACUUUGAUUUUGCUUUUAGUGACAUAACUAACAUAAUCAGUGUAUUACCCACAACAAACAUAUUAACAAUGUUUGAAGAAAAAGAAAUAUCAAUAUAAAUUCAGUGCCAAAGGAAAAAUCGGACGCCAAUUUGGCUAAGACUUGUAACGCGUGCGCAUGAAUGUAUGCUUGGCUGUGUGGCGUGCAGCGUACGCUGUAUUUACUGCCCAUACUGAGUCACUUUGGUGUUGAACACGUUGAACCAACGUAUGUUGCAGAUACCAGGCCGGUUUAAGAAAGAUUGAAGCACUACGCACAUAUGACCAGAGUGCUAUACUGCUACACUGUUAUUUUAGCAAAUCGAAGUAGACAUUUCGUUUAUUGAAGAUCCAGCUUACUCUUUAUCCAAUUAGUGGUCGCGGUGAUCCAAACAAAUGAAAGCAAGUUUGAAAAAAG